rnacentral:rRNA from 1 species
UAACGCGAAGAACCUUACCAAGGCUUGACAUACACCGGAAACGGCCAGAGAUGGUCGCCCCCUUGUGGUCGGUGUACAGGUGGUGCAUGGUUGUCGUCAGCUCGUGUCGUGAGAUGUUGGGUUAAGUCCCGCAACGAGCGCAACCCUCGUUCUAUGUUGCCAGCGCGUAAUGGCGGGAACUCAUAGGAGACUGCCGGGGUCAACUCGGAGGAAGGUGGGGAUGACGUCAAAUCAUCAUGCCCCUUAUGUCUUGGGCUUCACGCAUGCUACAAUGGCCGGUACAAAGGGCUGCAAUACCGUAAGGUGGAGCGAAUCCCAAAAAGCCGGUCUCAGUUCGGAUUGAGGUCUGCAACUCGACCUCAUGAAGUCGGAGUCGCUAGUAAUCGCAGAUCAGCA